rnacentral:rRNA from 1 species
AUUGAACGCUGGCGGCAGGCUUAACACAUGCAAGUCGAACGAUGAUUAUCUAGCUUGCUAGAUAUGAUUAGUGGCGGACGGGUGAGUAACAUUUAGGAAUCUGCCUAGUAGUGGGGGAUAGCUCGGGGAAACUCGAAUUAAUACCGCAUACGACCUACGGGUGAAAGGGGGCGCAAGCUCUUGCUAUUAGAUGAGCCUAAAUCAGAUUAGCUAGUUGGUGGGGUAAAGGCCCACCAAGGCGACGAUCUGUAACUGGUCUGAGAGGAUGAUCAGUCACACCGGAACUGAGACACGGUCCGGAAGCCUACGGGAGGAAGCAGUGGGGAAUAUUGGACAAUGGGGGCAACCCUGAUCCAGCCAUGCCGCGUGUGUGAAGAAGGCCUUUUGGUUGUAAAGCACUUUAAGCAGGGAGGAGAGGCUAAUGGUUAAUACCCAUUAGAUUAGACGUUACCUGCAGAAUAAGCACCGGCUAACUCUGUGCCAGCCGCCGCAGUAA